rnacentral:rRNA from 1 species
GAUGAACGCUAGCGACAGGCCUAACACAUGCAAGUCGAGGGGCAGCACAUGAGUAGCAAUACGAUGGUGGCGACCGGCGCACGGGUGAGUAUCGCGUAUGCAACCUACCUUCCACAGGGGGAUAGCCUUCCGAAAGGGAGAUCAAUACCGCAUAAAACAGGGGCCCCGCAUGGGGAUACUUGUUAAAGAUUUAUCGGUGGGAGAUGGGCAUGCGUUCCAUUAGCUAGUUGGCGGGGUAAUGGCCCACCAAGGCAUCGAUGGAUAGGGGAACUGAGAGGUUUAUCCCCCACACGGGAACUGAGACACGGUCCAGACUCCUACGGGAGGCAGCAGUGAGGAAUAUUGGUCAAUGGGCGGGAGCCUGAACCAGCCAAGUCGCGUGAAGGAAGACGGUUCUAUGGAUUGUAAACUUCUUUUGCACUGGGGUAAAACGGGGGACGUGUCCCCCCUUGCAAGUACAGUGCGAAUAAGCAUCGGCUAACUCCGUGCCAGCCGCCGCGGUAA